rnacentral:rRNA from 1 species
UACGAAGGGUGCAAGCGUUACUCGGAAUUACUGGGCGUAAAGCGUGCGUAGGUGGUUUGUUAAGUCUGAUGUGAAAGCCCUGGGCUCAACCUGGGAAUGGCAUUGGAUACUGGCGAGCUAGAGUGCGGUAGAGGGUAGUGGAAUUCCCGGUGUAGCAGUGAAAUGCGUAGAGAUCGGGAGGAACAUCUGUGGCGAAGGCGGCUACCUGGACCGGUUCUGACGCUGAUGCGCGAAAGCGUGGGGAGCAA